GACGAACGCUGGCGGCGUGCUUAACACAUGCAAGUCGAACGGAAAGGCCCUGCUUUUGUGGGGUGCUCGAGUGGCGAACGGGUGAGUAACACGUGAGUAACCUGCCCUUGACUUUGGGAUAACUUCAGGAAACUGGGGCUAAUACCGGAUAGGAGCUCCUGCUGCAUGGUGGGGGUUGGAAAGUUUCGGCGGUUGGGGAUGGACUCGCGGCUUAUCAGCUUGUGGGUGGGGUAGUGGCUUACCAAGGCUUUGACGGGUAGCCGGCCUGAGAGGGUGACCGGCCACAUUGGGACUGAGAUACGGCCCAGACUCCUACGGGAGGCAGCAGUGGGGAAUAUUGCACAAUGAGCGGAAGCCCGAUGCAGCAACGCCGCGUGCGGGAUGACGGCCUUCGGGUUGUAAACCGCUUUCGCCUGUGACGAAGCGUGAGUGACGGUAAUGGGUAAAGAAGCACCGGCUAACUACGUG
rnacentral:rRNA from 1 species